AGCUAAUCCUGCAAUAUGUUGAAAUUUGUUGUUGUCUGUACCGCGAUUGCCUUCGUGGCCGCCCAAACAACCGACAGUCCAACCACCAUCGCUAACACUGACAGUCCAACCACCAUGGCUAAACCAGACACUUCAUUCAUUUUCAUCAGCAUGGCUAACACAGACAGUCCAACCACUAUGGCCCAAACAGACAGUCCAACCACUAUGGCCCAAACAGACAGUCCAACCACCAUGGCUCAAACAGACAGUCCAACCACCAUGGCCCAAACAGACAGUCCAACCACCAUGGCUCAAACAGACAGUCCAACCACAAUGGCUAUGACUGACGGACCAGUUGAUCACACCAAGCAUCCUCAUCCUACUCAUGCACCACAUGUUGAUGAGACGUUCCACUUCUUCAAUGACAAAACCAAUAACAAAAUGGCGAUCAGAACUAAGACAGCUUGCUACAUCUUCACUCUGACCGCUGAUCAACAAAAAGCUCUCGCAACUCCAGCUGGUAUUCAAGCCACCGAGAUUGCCUUGAUUGGUAUGAUCUCUACUGGAACACAAACCCCACUGACACACAAGCAUCUGCACCAUGACGUUUCUAAACACU